rnacentral:rRNA from 1 species
GGGGAAUUUUGCGCAAUGGGGGAAACCCUGACGCAGCAACGCCGCGUGCGGGAUGACGGCCUUCGGGUUGUAAACCGCUUUCAGCAGGGAAGAUUAUGACGGUACCUGCAGAAGAAGCCCCGGCUAACUACGUGCCAGCAGCCGCGGUAAUACGUAGGGGGCAAGCGUUAUCCGGAUUCAUUGGGCGUAAAGAGCGCGUAGGCGGACGUUUAAGCAGAAUCUCUAAUCUGAGGGCUCAACCCCCAGCCGGAUUCUGAACUGGAUGUCUCGAGUUUGGUAGAGGAAGAUGGAAUUCCCGGUGUAGCGGUGGAAUGCGCAGAUAUCGGGAAGAACACCGAUGGCGAAGGCAGUCUUCUGGGCCAUAACUGACGCUGAGGCGCGAAAGCUAGGGGAGCGAAC